rnacentral:rRNA from 1 species
ACGAACGCUGGCGGCGUGCCUAAUACAUGCAAGUCGCACGCUUCUUUCCUCCCGAGGGCUUGCACUCAAUUGGAAAGAGGAGUGGCGGACGGGUGAGUAACACGUGGGUAACCUACCCAUCAGAGGGGGAUAACACUUGGAAACAGGUGCUAAUACCGCAUAACAGUUUAUGCCGCAUGGCAUAAGAGUGAAAGGCGCUUUCGGGUGUCGUUGAUGGAUGGACCCGCGGUGCAUUAGCUAGUUGGUGAGGUAACGGCUCACCAAGGCCACGAUGCAUAGCCGACCUGAGAGGGUGAUCGGCCACACUGGGACUGAGACACGGCCCAGACUCCUACGGGAGGCAGCAGUAGGGAAUCUUCGGCAAUGGACGAAAGUCUGACCGAGCAACGCCGCGUGAGUGAAGAAGGUUUUCGGAUCGUAAAACUCUGUUGUUAGAGAAGACCAAGGACGUUAGUAACUGAACGUCCCCUGACGGUAUCUAACCAGAAAGCCACGGCUAACUACGUG